UACGGGGGGAGCAAGCGUUGUUCGGAUUUACUGGGCGUAAAGGGCGCGUAGGCGGCCACCGCAAGUCGACUGUGAAAUCUCCGGGCUUAACCCGGAAAGGUCAGCCGAUACUGCGGGGCUAGAGUGCAGAAGGGGCAACUGGAAUUCUCGGUGUAGCGGUGAAAUGCGUAGAUAUCGAGAGGAACACCUGCGGCGAAGGCGGGUCUCUGGACAGUUCCUGACACUGAGGCACGAAGGCCAGGGGAGCAAACGGG
rnacentral:rRNA from 1 species